rnacentral:rRNA from 1 species
AGUGAACGCUGGCGGUAGGCCUAACACAUGCAAGUCGGACGGCAGCACAGUAAGAGCUUGCUCUUACGGGUGGCGAGUGGCGGACGGGUGAGGAAUACAUCGGAAUCUACUUUUUCGUGGGGGAUAACGUAGGGAAACUUACGCUAAUACCGCAUACGACCUACGGGUGAAAGCAGGGGAUCUUCGGACCUUGCGCGAUUGAAUGAGCCGAUGUCGGAUUAGCUAGUUGGCGGGGUAAAGGCCCACCAAGGCGACGAUCCGUAGCUGGUCUGAGAGGAUGAUCAGCCACACUGGAACUGAGACACGGUCCAGACUCCUACGGGAGGCAGCAGUGGGGAAUAUUGGACAAUGGGCGCAAGCCUGAUCCAGCCAUACCGCGUGGGUGAAGAAGGCCUUCGGGUUGUAAAGCCCUUUUGUUGGGAAACAAAAGCAGCAGGUUAAUACCCCGCUGUUCUGACGGUACCCAAAGAAUAAGCACCGGCUAACUUCGUG